GACGAACGCUGGCGGCGUGCCUAACACAUGCAAGUCGAGCGAAGUGAGUACUACGGUACGAACUUAGCGGCGGACGGGUGAGUAACGCGUGGACAAUCUACCCUGUAGACUGGGAUAACACCUCGAAAGGGGUGCUAAUACCGGAUAAUGUCGAGAAGCGGCAUCGCUUUUCGAAGAAAGGAGAGAAUCCGCUAUAGGAGGAGUCCGCGUCCCAUUAGCUAGGUGGUGAGGGUAACGGCCCACCAAGGCGACGAUGGGUAGCCGGCCUGAGAGGGUGAACGGCCACACUGGAACUGAGACACGGGCCAGACUCCUACGGGAGGCAGCAGUGGGGAAUAUUGUGCAAUGGGGGAAACCCUGACACAGCAACGCCGCGUGAGCGAAGAAGGCCUUCGGGUUGUAAAGCUCAAUAGUAUGGGAAGAUAAUGACGGUACCAUACGAAAGCCCCGGCUAACUACGUGCCAGCCGCCGCCGUAAAAC
rnacentral:rRNA from 1 species